CGACAUAAUACAACCACAAUAAUAUCCACGAGGAAAGACGCUCCUCCUUUCUUCCUCAUCCUCGUAGUCGCUGGCGGUGUCCUAUAAAUGGGUCUUUCUCCUCGACGCCUUUGUUAUCUUCCUCCUCAUCAAUCAUUUCAUCAUCCUCUUUGUUGUCGUGUUGUUUCUCAUCAACCUCUUCGUCAGACAGUUUUUGGCUUUGAUUGGCAGAUGGAAGCCAUAACUGCAUAGGAUCCACAAACCCUAGGACUGAAACUACACGAGAGCCUUUCUUCCUCGGAUUGUUUAAUGGCGGCAUCAAAGCCUAUAUUUAUACCUGGCAGAGAUUGGGCCAUGCUAGGUUUGAUUUCGAGCUAUGAAUUUUUAUUUACAUUCGGGCUUCUUUCAUCCGACACAACAAGUCAAUAGUUUGUUAUUUGGGCUGGACUAGAAAAAAUAAGUAAAUAAAGCCGAAUCUCUUUGUUGUCUUCCUCAUCAUCCUUUGGCUUCUUCAAGAGUGAUUUACGAGCAUAAGAUUAAUUAUUCCUCUUCAUGAUUCAUGCUGCAGCUUUUAUUGAUGAAUAAUUCAUCUUCAUGCUUCAUGCUGCAGCUUUUCAACGUCUCGCAUCCAUACCUUCUCGAAUUCAUAAUUUCCCUUCAAAUCUCAGCUGUCCAAUCUCUCUACUCCAUCGUCAAACCCACAGCACAGAAUAUCAACCCUCCAGUGAGCUUCUUGAUUUUUUUGAUCACCUUCUUCAGCAAUGCAUCGUUGUUGAUCGCUGCAAACAAAUCCAUACCCAUGUCAUCGUCACUGGUUGCUGUUGCUCUGCUUUCUUGGCUGCCCGUAUUAUAUCUGUCUAUGGUCGUUUUGGGCUCCUCUUUGAUGCCCACAAAGUUUUUAACAGCGCCCCUUUUGAGGGCGUCUCGAAUUUGCUUUUGUGGAAUUCAAUUUUGAGAGCUAAUGUUUCUAAUGAGAACUAUGAAAAUGCCCUUAAGCUGUAUGUUAGAAUGAGAAGGGCUGGAGUUUUUGGGGAUGGGUUUACUUUUCCUUUGGUUUUAAGGGCAUGCGCUUAUAUGGGAAAUCCUAUUUUCUGCAAAAUAGUUCAUGGGCAUGCCUUAGAAAUGGGUUUUCAGAAUCAUCUUCAUGUUGGCAAUGAGUUGAUGGGCAUGUAUGCGAAAUUGGGUCAAAUGAGAGAUGCCCACAAUGUGUUUGAUAGAAUGGGUGUAAGAAGCUAUAUUUCCUGGAAUACAAUGGUUUCGGGAUAUGCCUUUAAUUAUGACUGCAAUGGUGCUCUUGAGAUUUUUAAAAGGAUGCAGUCUGAAGGUUUGGAGCCAAAUCUUGUGACAUGGACAUCACUUAUGUCAAGCCAUGCACGUUCUGGUUGGCUUAAGGAAACUAUGGAGUUGUUUGAUUUGAUAAGGAUGAGAGGAAUUGAGGUGAGUGCUGAAGCACUUGCUGUGGUGUUAUCAGUUUGUGCUGAUUUGGGUGUAUUUUAUCGGGGUACGGUGAUUCAUGGAUUUGUCAUUAAGGGUGGGUUUGAAGAUUACUCAUUUGUGAAGAAUGCAUUAUUAUGUGUGUAUGGGAAGCAUGGAGAUGUAAAUAGUGCGAAUAACUUGUUUCUGGAAAUGAAAAAUAAGAGUAUAGCGAGUUGGAAUGCCUUGAUAACGUCACAUGCAGACGCUGGUUUAUGUGAUGAGGCUCUUGAAAUAUUUUCACAGCUGGAGAGAUCAGAAGAUUGUCCGACAUUGAGGCCUAAUGUGGUAAGUUGGAGUGCCGUAAUUGAUGGUUUUGCUUCCCAGGGGCGAGGAGGGGAAGCUUUGGAACUUUUUCGAAGAAUGCAGUUUGCUAAAGUACUGGCAAACGCUGUGACAAUUUCUACCAUUUUAUCAGUUUGUGCAGAAUUACCUGCUCUGCAUCUUGGUAGGGAAAUCCAUGGCCAUGUGAUUAGAGCAUUGAUGGACAACAACAUUCUGGUGGAAAAUGGCUUGGUUAAUAUGUACACUAAGUGUGGAUGUCUCAGAGAAGGGUACAUGGUAUUUGAGAAAAUUGAGAAGAGAGAUUUAAUCUCGUGGAACUCUAUGAUCACAGGGUAUGGGAUGCAUGGACUUGGUGUAAAAGCUCUGGAAACUUUUGAUCAAAUGAUUAAAUUGGCAUUCAAGCCGGAUGGGGUUACUUUUGUUGCUAUUAUUUCUGCUUGUGGUCAUGCUGGACUUGUUCCUGAGGGUCGUAGGCUUUUUGAUCAGAUGCUUAGGGAGUAUAGGAUUGAACCCCAGAUGGAGCACUAUGCUUGCAUGGUUGAUCUCCUAGGCCGUGCAGGGUUAUUACAAGAAGCAAGUGAAAUUGUCAAAAAUAUGCCACUAGAGCCCAAUGCUUGUGUCUGGGGUGCUCUUUUGAACUCUUGUAGAAUGCAUAACAAUACAAAAGUGGCAGGAGAAACUGCCUCCCAUAUUUUUAGUCUCAACAGGCGGGAAACGACGGGGAAUUACAUGCUGCUUUCUAAUAUAUAUGCUGCAAGUGGUAGAUGGAAGGAUUCUGCAACAGUGAGAACGUCGGCAAGAGCAAAGGGUUUAAGGAAGUAUCCUGGACAGAGUUGGAUUAAGGUGAAGAAAAAUGUUUAUAUCUUCUCUGCAGGGAACAACACGCAAAAGGGUUUGGAGAAAGUUUCUGGGAUUGUUGAGGCAUUGACACUACAAAUGGAGAGUGAAGAAUAUGUUCACAGUAAUACUAUCAUUCCACAAGACGUGGAUGAGGUAGCUAGAUUGACGAUGUGGGGAUAAAAAAAAUUCUAGCUUUUCCUGGUUUUAUUUUUGCACUGGAAUUAAAUUAAACCUCAGUUCCAAAUUAGUUUAAUUUUUGGAAUGCAGGAGACCUCCCAUUGUUUCUGCAGCUAAUGGUAGUCCAUUUAUCACUACCAAACACAGUAGCGUGGACAAAAUGUCUUUGGUUUUUCGUCGACCGGUGCUAUCGACAACAAACUCAUGUAACAGAAAUAAAUUUAUUACUACU
rnacentral:misc_RNA from 1 species